UCCUACGGGUGGCAGCAGUGGGGAAUCUUGCACAAUGGGGGAAACCCUGAUGCAGCGACGCCGCGUGAGCGAUGAAGCCCCUCGGGGUGUAAAGCUCUUUCGGCAGGAACGAUAAUGACGGUACCUGCAGAAGAAGCUGCGGCUAACUACGUGCCAGCAGCCGCGGUAAUACGUAGGCAGCGAGCGUUGUUCGGAGUUACUGGGCGUAAAGAGUGUGUAGGCGGUUUGCCAAGUUCGGUGUGAAAUCUCCCGGCUUAACUGGGAGGGUGCGCCGAAUACUGGCAGGCUAGAGGGCGGGAGAGGAGAGCGGAAUUCCUGGUGUAGCGGUGAAAUGCGUAGAUAUCAGGAGGAACACCUGCGGUGUAGACGGCUCUCUGGACCGUUUCUGACGCUGAGACACGAAAGCGUGGGUAGCAAACAGGAUUAGAUACCCGGGUAGUCC
rnacentral:rRNA from 1 species